UACAGAGGUCCCAAGCGUUGUUCGGAUUCACUGGGCGUAAAGAGCGCGUAGGCGGUCCGAUAAGUCGGUUGUGAAAACUGGGGGGCUCAACCCUCAGAGGCCGACCGAUACUGUCGGGCUAGAGUCCGGAAGAGGCGAGUGGAAUUCCUGGUGUAGCGGUGAAAUGCGCAGAUAUCAGGAGGAACACCAAUGGCGAAGGCAGCUCGCUGGGGACGGUACUGACGCUGAGGCGCGAAAGCGUGGGGAGCAAACAGG
rnacentral:rRNA from 1 species